GUGUAGUAGACCGCGUUGCCGUUGGAGGAGACCAGCGGCAUGCGGGGGUCCUCGGAGUCGUUUUUGCCAUCGGUGAAGGAAUCGGCCGAGCCGUUGCCCAGGUCCAACAGGAUGGCUCGGAAUUCCUCGUCCUCACACAGAUCUUGGAAUGAGAACGGUGGAAGAACAGCAAUGUCAGCUCCUUUCAAAAGAAACUGUGCGUCUUAUGUUUUGAUACUCUCUUGAAAAAAAAAAAAGGAAAAAAAAAAACAGAUUGUGAAAUGAAUGAAUUUACCGUAACAAGAUCUAAAUCAGUAAUUAAACAGAACAAAACCACGAAUAAAUCUGUAAAUGAGA